AAAAGUACAGUAGACUAAGGGAGGAGAGGCAAUACAGAGUGAAGAGUGGAUUAUUUUUAAUUCAUCCUUUGAAGGGGAGGAGGUUACUUACCUUGCAUGGCAGCUGGCUUCGCACAAUAUCAAAAGAUCACUCAAGAAUCACGGAAUCACAUAUAACACAAAAAUCCAUCUUGUCAGGCUUCAAGUAAUGAAGCCUGACAAGAUGACAACCAGCGGUUCAACCAAUCAGUGUCCAGUAAGAAGCUACUGGCAGCUGCAGCCAUGAUUAAGCCUUUGUGAAUAUCUUUCCCAGGCGGCUGAGCUGAGGGAUAAGUCUACUGUAGAGGAGGGGGAGAAAAAGGAAGAGGAAGAAGAACGAAGAGAGGUAAAGGAGAUAGGGUAGCACUGAGCCGGUCUCUAUCUCCCAGUGAAAUCAGAGUUUUUCCAGUCAGAGCGCGUUCUCUAUUGACCUCUGCCCCUUAUCGAUCCACCACUCUUAAUGUACUCCAUGCGUGUGUUUGUGUGUUUUAAGAAGAGGCAGGGAGAAACCGAAAGUAGCAGGUGUUGUGUGUGUGUGUGUGUGUGUGUGUGUGUGUGUGUGUGUGUGUGUGUGUGUGUGUGUACGUGUACGUGUACGUGCAAAUGCGUGUGUCAGCGUCUGAUAAUCUUCAGUAAGUGCCUUCACAACCAUAAAAAACCAGUAGGGAAUAUUCUGUUUUAUCAGCAGCAACUCGCUAAAGAAAAGAAGAUAGCUGCCUACAGAAAGUAGUUCAGUGUGUAAUGUGUGCGUGGAGGUGGGGUGGAAAAUAAGGGAAAAUAUGGACAAUAGACUUAAGCAGGGUGUGAGGAUACAUGCAACGUAUUAUUAAACUGAAGGGAAGGAGGAAAAUACCAGGAGGAGAAAAGCAUGGAGGUAAUUUAAAGAGCUAAAAGGCUCAUGGGAUCACCAAGCAUUUAUCACUCUCGCUCUCUUUACUCGCCUCCCGUCUUUCUUCAUAAACACUUGACAAAUUCACACACAUCCACACAUGAACACCCAUAUACACCACUCCUCCCUUCAUCCGCACAGCUGCAUUUUUUUUUUUUUUUUUUAUCUCUAGCCUUAUUCCACAGCUUAUGAAUUUUUAUAGGCCUCAAUCAGAACACCUCAGCAGUGUUUUUCUAUCUCCCAAAGUAAUGGACUUGAACCACCUGAGAGUUCUUAGACAGCCCUGUAUUCAUAGAGCUAAGGAAGUCAAAAUGAAAUGGGGAGGAGAAGAGGGAUGAAAGAUAAGGACGGACGGGACGUGGAUUAAUAAGGAGGGAUGGUGGGAAAAAGAACGUGCCUGCGGAGUGAUCGCUGAUUGCGGCUAGGGAGACAAAUUGAGAGAGGUAGAGUGGCCUUGGCUUAAAAAUGGAUUCCUACUGGAUGUCAACACAUGUGUUAGCAUGCAUACAAUCUCACACGCACAAACACAUACACAUGAAUAAACACACACACACACACACACACACACACACACAAGACACACAAAUGAGAGUCUGAUUGUUUCUGGGUUGCUUUGCUCCUGACCCCCUCUCCCCCCCUAAUUACAAUCACUGACAAAUGGAACUGCUUGGUAAUGCAAAGGCAGGCACACACAAUAACACACACACACACACACACACACACACACACACACACACACACACAUGCCCACUAAAAGAGAGGAAGAGAGAUGCACUGUUUUUGCUGAUUAGGAGGUGUCACUGUUCUUUUUGGACUCAGACGCUGUAUUUAGACACAUAAUGCACACACCUACACUUCACACACAUACACACAGAGACACACACACACACACACACACACACAUACUUUAUUUCCCCAGCAGAUGUAAAACAAAACUGCUCUGCAUUUAUUCUGUUGGAAAUUGUCCCUAUUGUGCCAUCCGCGCCAUGAUGUGUAACCAUUUGUCGAAAUCAAUGGAGCCCAGAAAUUGGUAUUAUUCUUUCAAUGGUUCAUUCUCUCUCUCGCCCUCACUCUCCAUCCCUCUCUCUCUCUCUCUCUCUCUCUCUCUCUUGCUCAUGCUUGAAUGCGAAAAAGUGAUUACCUGAGAAAGAAAAGGGGUUAGUACGUUAGUGAAAGGUGGCUGUUGUGUGUCUGCUGUCUCUGUGAAAAGACCUCUGCACGUCUCCUACUUUAUCUAGCCCCCACUUGUUUCGACUCAAAUGUUACUACGCACGCACACACACACCUGCGCACAUCGUGGCACAAUGAGCCAUCGACAUAAUAGAGGUACGCUGCGAAUGCUCACAGGAAAGACAGUCCACACACACCGCAUGUGCCAAAGUUGAUUGCCUGAAAACAAUGCUUCAUCAGCUCUCGCCAUAAUCACAGCACUUUUAAAGAUCUCGGGCUGAAAGACAGGGGAGCAGCACAAUGCAUAAACACAGCCAUAAGCCAGCUCUAUUCACAGGCUGUGUAGUUCUACCGACUGUUAAAGCCAUUCCCGUCUCCACGACGCAACAAUAGAGUGCAACAGAGAGACAGAGACUGAGGGACUGUAUUGAUAUCGAGCUCUGCUGAAUGGUCGGCUGACUAGCAUUUACUGUCACAGCAGAUGGAUGGUUUAAUUUUGGACUGGUGUGAGAAAAAAAAGUGGAGAGUGUGAGUUUUUGUGUAUUUGUGUGUGUGUGUGCGUGUGUGUGUCUGUGGACGAGAGGGCCCGGGGAGGUGACAGCCGUUAUCUUAGGCCUACAGACAGACACUUAGCCCUCCGCCAACCCUCAACCACUCGUCCCUAUGGCAUGCUCAGAAAUGUCACGAGCUGGCACUGUCACUCACUACACUUGUGUGUGUGCGUGUGAGUGUGUGGGUUUGUCUGCGUUUGCAUGUUGGUGCACACCACAUCAAACUCCUCUGCUUGUACCGUGCGCGUGCAGUUUGAGUGUGAGCCCAUGUGUCGAUGAAAAUUACGUCAAAUAUACGCCUGCUGCUUUGUGGAUAGUUUUCUGUUUUUGCUGUUAUUGUUCACACAUGCAAACACCGAGCCACACUUACAAAUAGACACACAUAGCAAUGUUUGGAGUGCGAGUAUCUCUGCUAUAGCUGCAAAGAUACAGAGC